rnacentral:lncRNA from 1 species
GAGAGGGUGCAGAAGCUCCUCUCAACUAGUUGUGCCUUGGCCAGAACGGCCGAAUAAGUCCUAAGCUCCAGCACAAACAAAUGCUGUCUGAUCUCUGAGUGGAGGCCCCACUCAAACCUUCUAGCCUUCCUGCCUUCAUCCAAUAAUGUCUCAAGCAAAUAUCAGCCCAACUCUAGAAACUUAUGAGCAUAUUCUGACACAGUCAUGUUCUCGUAGACUAACUGUACAA